rnacentral:rRNA from 1 species
AUGCAGUCGACGGAACAUGUCUAGCUUGCUAGAUGAUGUCGAGUGGCGGACGGGUGAGUAAUACUUAGGAACAUGCCUUUGGGUGGGGGAUAACUAUUGGAAACGAUAGCUAAUACCGCAUAACGUCUACGGACCAAAGGGGGCUUCGGCUCCCGCCCAGAGAGUGGCCUAAGCGAGAUUAGCUUGUUGGUGAGGUAAAGGCUCACCAAGGCGACGAUCUCUAGCUGUUCUGAGAGGAAGAUCAGCCACACUGGAACUGAGACACGGUCCAGACUCCUACGGGAGGCAGCAGUGGGGAAUAUUGCACAAUGGGCGCAAGCCUGAUGCAGCCAUGCCGCGUGUGUGAAGAAGGCCUUCGGGUUGUAAAGCACUUUCAGUUGUGAGGAAAGGUUAACGGUUAAUACCCGUUAGCUGUGACGUUAGCAACAGAAGAAGGACCGGCUAACUCCGUGCCAGCAGCCGCGGUAAUACGGAGGGUCCGAGCGUUAAUCGGAAUUACUGGGCGUAAAGCGCACGCAGGCGGUUUGUUAAGCUAGAUGUGAAAGCCCUGGGCUCAACCUGGGAAUUGCAUUUAGAACUGGCAGGCUAGAGUUUUGGAGAGGGGAGUGGAAUUCCAGGUGUAGCGGUGAAAUGCGUAGAUAUCUGGAGGAACAUCAGUGGCGAAGGCGACUCCCUGGUCAGUAACUGACGCUCAUGUGCGAAAGUGUGGGUAGCGAACAGGAUUAGAUACCCUGGUAGUCCACACCGUAAACGCUGUCUACUAGCUGUUUGUGGAUUUAAUCCGUGAGUAGCGAAGCUAACGCGAUAAGUAGACCGCCUGGGGAGUACGGCCGCAAGGUUAAAACUCAAAUGAAUUGACGGGGGCCCGCACAAGCGGUGGAGCAUGUGGUUUAAUUCGAUGC